rnacentral:rRNA from 1 species
CCUACGGGUGGCAGCAGUGAGGAAUAUUGGUCAAUGGACGAGAGUCUGAACCAGCCAAGUAGCGUGAAGGAUGACUGCCCUAUGGGUUGUAAACUUCUUUUAUAAAGGAAUAAAACAAGGCACUUGUGCCUUUUUGCAUGUACUUUAUGAAUAAGCAUCGGCUAACUCCGUGCCAGCAGCCGCGGUAAUACGGAGGAUCCGAGCGUUAUCCGGAUUUAUUGGGUUUAAAGGGAGCGGAGAUGGGUUGUUAAGUCAGUUGUGAAAUUUUGCGGCUCAACCGUAAAAUUGCAAUUGAUACUGGCAGUCUUGAGUACAGUUGAGGUAGGCGGAAUUCGUGGUGUAGCGGUGAAAUGCUUAGAUAUCACGAAGAACCCCGAUUGCGAAGGCAGCUUACUAAACUGUGACUGACAUUGAUGCUCGAAAGUGUGGGUAUCAAACAGGAUUAGAUACCCGGGUAGUC